rnacentral:rRNA from 1 species
UACGGAGGAUCCAAGCGUUAUCCGGAAUCAUUGGGUUUAAAGGGUCCGUAGGCGGUUUUGUAAGUCAGUGGUGAAAGUUUUCGGCUCAACUGGGAAAUUGCCAUUGAUACUGCAAGGCUUGAAUCAUUAUGAAGUGGUUAGAAUGUGUAGUGUAGCGGUGAAAUGCAUAGAUAUUACACAGAAUACCGAUUGCGAAGGCAGAUCACUAAUAAUGUAUUGACGCUAAGGGACGAAAGCGUGGGUAGCGAACGGG